rnacentral:lncRNA from 1 species
GCAAUUAAUAUGUAACAUGCAGUGCAUUGCAUAGUAAUAGGUUUACAAUAGCAAUAUCUUGUUUUAAAUAGUGUAGACAUAAAGGAGUGAUGUGAAGUAUGGAGUACAGUAAAGGCUGCAAGUGCAAAGUGUGGAAGUAGAGAAACAUGGUCGCAUGGGGAAUUUGUCUAGAGAUUACAAGACACAGAGGGGUGAACGUUGAGCCUGUUUGGUCCCACUCUUUAUUACCGGUUAUCGCCA